rnacentral:rRNA from 1 species
UCCGGAGGGUGCAAGCGUUAUCCGGAUUUACUGGGUUUAAAGGGCACGUAGGCGGUGAAUCGGGUUGAAAGUGAAAGUCGCCAAAAAGUGGCGGAAUGCUCUCGAAACCAAUUCACUUGAGUGAGACAGAGGAGAGUGGAAUUUCGUGUGUAGGGGUGAAAUCCGUAAAUAUACGAAGGAACGCCAAAAGCGAAGGCAGCUCUCUGGGUCCCUACCGACGCUGGGGUGCGAAAGCAUGGGGAGCGAACAGG